rfam:Ixodes scapularis strain Wikel colony gcontig_1108379217490, whole genome shotgun sequence.
AAACUAAACUGAAACAUGACUUGGUUCUCGGGUGGAUGAAGAACGGGGGCAGCUGCGAUACUUGGUGCGUAUUUACAGGGCACAUUGAUCGUGAUACACAUGCUCAAUGUAUGUGUGUCUGUGUUAAUUCAUUGAGCAAUUACACUUUGAACGCACAUUACGGCGUCGGGUGUUCCCGUGGCUUCGUCUGUGUGAGAAACG